rnacentral:misc_RNA from 1 species
GAUGAAGAACGCAGCGAAAUGCGAUAAGUAGUGUGAAUUGCAGAAUUCAGUGAAUCAUCGAAUCUUUGAACGCACAUUGCGCCCCUUGGUAUUCCAUGGGGCAUGCCUGUUCGAGCGUCAUUUGUACCUUCAAGCUCUGCUUGGUGUUGGGUGUUUGUCUCGCCUCUGCGUGUAGACUCGCCUCAAAACAAUUGGCAGCCGGCGUAUUGAUUUCGGAGCGCAGUACAUCUCGCGCUUUGCACUCAUAACGACGACGUCCAUAAGUACAUUUUUACACUCUUGACCUCGGAUCAGGUAGGGAUACCCGCUGAACUUAAGCAUAUCAAUAAGCGGAGGA